rnacentral:rRNA from 1 species
CCUUUGACGUUAGCGGCGGACGGGUGAGUAACACGUGGGUAACCUACCUAUAAGACUGGGAUAACUUCGGGAAACCGGAGCUAAUACCGGAUAAUAUUUCGAACCGCAUGGUUCGAUAGUGAAAGGNGGUUUUGCUAUCACUUAUAGAUGGACCCGCGCCGUAUUAGCUAGUUGGUAAGGUAACGGCUUACCAAGGCGACGAUACGUAGCCGACCUGAGAGGGUGAUCGGCCACACUGGAACUGAGACACGGUCCAGACUCCUACGGGAGGCAGCAGCC